rnacentral:rRNA from 1 species
AUGUGUAAUAGAGAAGGAUUCAAGUCAAAAGAUAUUAAGGAGAUUAAUGACCCCUUGAGGAAAAGACGUAAGCAGACAGACACGCGAUGCGGUUGUGAUGCCCAUAUAUUUGUUAAACUUUGUGGGGAGAACACCUACAAGAUAGACUCAUGGAUUGAGCAUCAUGUUCAUGGUCUUGUAUCACCUGAUAAGCGUCAUUUGAUCAGAUCCAAUCGUAGAGUUAGUGAGAGGGCAAAGAAUACUUUAUACACAUGUCAUAAAGCAAGCAUUGGAACCUCCCAGGCAUACAGGCUCCUGCAAGUUAGCGAGGGUGGAAUUCCGAAUGCUGGGUGCACAAAGAGGGACUUCCAAAAUUACUAUCGCGGACUCAGGUAUAAAAUCAGAGACGCAGAUGCUCAAAUGUUUGUGGCCCAAUUAGCUAGAAAGCAGGAAGUGAAUUCAGCAUUUUUCUAUGAUUUUGAGGUGAAUGAUGAGGGGAACCUGGUGCGUGUGUUCUGGGCGGAUGCCACAAGUAGGAAGAACUAUAGUCACUUUGGUGAUGUGAUAUCCUUCGAUUCUACAUACACCACUAAUCAGUACAACAUGAUACUUACACCAUUUACAGGGGUUAAUCAUCACUUACAAAGUGUCCUUUUUGGUGCUGGAUUCUUAUCAAAUGAGAAGGAUGAGUCAUACAUUUGGUUAUUUCAGACCUUCCUAAAAGCAAUGGGAGGGGUAGCACCUAGACUCAUCAUAACUGAUGAAGCUGCUAGCAUCAAGAAUGGUAUUGACAAAGUUCUUCCAGCCACUAUGCAUAGGUUAUGCAUGUGGCAUAUAAUGGAAAAGGUGCCUGAAAAAGUUGGACCUUUGAUUAGAGAAGAUUCUGAAUUUUGGCCGAGGUUGAACUCAUGUGUUUGGGGUUCAGAAACUGCAAGUGAGUUUGAAUCACAAUGGAAUUCCAUCAUUACAGAUUUUGGGUUGGAGGAUAACGAGUGGUUAGCUAAGAGGUUUACCAUUAGAGAUACAUGGAUACCAGCCUACUUUAUGGAUAUAUCUCUUGCGGGCUUGCUCCAAACCACUUCAAGGUCAGAAAAUGCAAAUUCUUUUUUCAACCAUUUCAUUCAUCGUAGGCUUGCUUUUGUUGAGUUCUGGCUUAGGUUCGACACGGCUUUAGAAUGCCAACGUGAGGAAGAAUUAAUGGCAGACAAUAGAAGCAUGCAUACCACCCCACAACUAUUUACGCCAUGGACAAUGGAGAAACAAGGUAGUGAGGUAUUCACAUAUGAGGUAUUCGAGAAAUUUCAGCUACAAGUUAUUGCUGCUAGAGAUCAUUGUUGUGUUCAGGGUAUUGCACAGGGUGUGGGGUUAAAAAUGGUGACCCUGAGAGGUCGAUCUGAUAAGGUUAGGGAGGUCUCCUAUGACACUACAACCAUGAUAGCAAAUUGUCCGUGCAAGUUAUUUGAGUCAAUCGGUAUUCCAUGUCGACAUAUUAUCCAGGUGUUGAGGAUUGAGAACCAAAACGAGCUUCCCAACUACUACAUUAUGAAAAGAUGGAAGAAACGGUGCAAGAGGUAA